ACCAGCUCAAAGCAUUAGGAAUUGGAAUGGGCAUAAGGCAUGGCAUUUACAUCAAACCCAGCCUGGGAGAAAUGUUAAGGUGGAAACCAAUAGAAAAAAAUAAUUUAUAAAAUUCAUUCACUUAUUCAAAAAUAUUUGUUGAAUGCCUAGUAUGUUUAGUAUUGUGCUGAAUAUAAAAAUACACAUAAGAAAUACACCAUGUCCUCAAAAAGUUUAUAAUCUAGUAAGAAAGGUCACCCAUGCAAAAUUUAGCAAUAAAAGGUGGUAUAUUUUAUGUACCAUUUGAAAAAAGUUGAUUAGGAAGAAGGGACUCCCAACUGGCAUAAUCAAGGAAGGAUUUGGAGCAGUGGGGCUUGCUUUGAGCAGAGCAGUGUUAGCAGGGAGGGGAAAAGUCAAGGCCAAGGGGGCAGCAAGUGACAGAGAGUGCCCCGUGCUGCAGUAGUAAAUCAUCGCUCUGGUUAAGGAGUUAAUGAAGGCAACACUAGGCAGGCUGGUGGGGUCUGAUGGGGUAAGUCUUGAAUGCUGACAAUUUUAGAUGUUAUGCUAGUCAGUAGGAAAGGAUCUAACGUGUUUAACGGGAGAGUCGUUUGAUGCAGUGGUGUUAUGGAAAUUACUCUGCUGGUGAUGUGAAGGAUGGGUUGACAUGAGGAACAACCGUGGUGGCGUUAGGUGGGAGGCUUGCAGGAGGACCGGGCGUGAGGGAGGGGCAGUGGGAAGGGAAGGAUCAGGAGAGAUGAGAGGGACAUCACACAGGAUGAAAGCAUAGGGUUUUGUGACUGACCAGAUUUGGAGGUUUCAAACCCAAGUAAUUAAAGCAAUAUUUCACUGAGAGGAGAUGCUACAUUUUGAGAGGGAGGUAAUGACUGGGCCUUUACUAUUACAUAAAGGGAGCUCUCAGGUCUAAGGACCUUGAGAGGGACGGAGGAGACUUUGAACAGGAUUUCCUAUGAAAUGAGCAAUGGGAUUUCAAGGCAACAGGGACCUCAGAGAAUCAGUCUUUAGUACAUCAAGUCAUCAUGACUUCACAGAUGUCUAAGUACCACUAUGUGGCCUAGGACCAGGAAGAAGGAAAACGUGAGGGGAUGACUGGGAAAUAGGGACAGCAAACGUGGGGGAGAGUAGGGAGCCUAGGGGUGAUCUUCACUGGCUGAGCUUCCAGGGCGGCCUUGGAAUUUAGUUGAGACUAAACAGUUUGGAAGGAUCUAGAAGUCAGUAAGAGCAGAGAUGAUGGGUGAGUGUGGAGUGAGUUUUGUAAGAAGAGGUCAUGGCUGGAGAAGAGAAUUACCAUCUACCCAGUGGCACCUCACACUCCACUUGUCCAAACUGAACUUUUCUUUUCAUCACGCAAACCCUUCCUGUUAGAUGGGUUAAGAUGAACACAGGAAAUUUAUGAACCCCUGAAAUUGUAUAUAAAAGUUUGUAUUUCUAUGAUAAAUGUGGUGGUGUUUUGUUUUGUUUUUUGUUUGUUUGGUGUUUUAUUUUCCCACAAAGAAAGGGUCCAGUCCAUCAGAUUCUGAAAGGAGUCUGUAAUAUAAAAGUUUAAACACCGCUGUUUUUGUAGGGCUGUAGAUAAUUUAAAAGAGAUUUCAGAGGAAAUAUGCAAAGAUAAAGCUGUGGGGGGGGGGGGAUUCAUGAG